AUUGAACGCUGGCGGCAUGCCUUACACAUGCAAGUCGAACGGCAGCACGGGGGCAACCCUGGUGGCGAGUGGCGAACGGGUGAGUAACGCAUCGGAAUGUACCCAGUAGUGGGGGAUAACUAGUCGAAAGAUUAGCUAAUACCGCAUACGCACUGAGGUGGAAAGCGGGGGAUCGCAAGACCUCGCGCUAUUGGAGCAGCCGAUGUCCGAUUAGGUAGUUGGUGGGGUAAAGGUCUACCAAGCCUGCGAUCGGUAACUGGUCUGAGAGGACGACCAGUCACACUGGGACUGAGACACGGCCCAGACUCCUACGGGAGGCAGCAGUGGGGAAUUUUGGACAAUGGGCGCAAGCCUGAUCCAGCAAUGCCGCGUGUGUGAAGAAGGCCUUCGGGUUGUAAAGCACUUUUGGCGGGAGCGAAACGGCGUUUGCUAAUACCAGACGCUAAUGACGGUACCCGCAGAAUAAGCACCGGCUAACUACGUG
rnacentral:rRNA from 1 species